CAGAAAUUAGUUUAAAGAAAAUAAUUCAUUUACAUUGAAUAGAUUUUGGUGCAAUCUUAUAUUUCUGA
rnacentral:tRNA from 1 species